UACGGGGGGGGCAAGCGUUGUUCGGAAUUACUGGGCGUAAAGGGCUCGUAGGCGGCCAACUAAGUCGGAUGUGAAAUCCCCAGGCUUAACCUGGGAACUGCAUCCGAUACUGGAUGGCUUGAAUCCGGGAGAGGGAUGCAGAAUUCCAGGUGUAGCGGUGAAAUGCGUAGAUAUCUGGAGGAACACCGGUGGCGAAGGCGGCAUCCUGGACCGACAUUGACGCUGAGGCGCGAAAGCCAGGGGAGCAAACGGG
rnacentral:rRNA from 1 species